rnacentral:rRNA from 1 species
AGAGUUUGAUCCUGGCUCAGGAUGAACGCUGGCGGCGUGCCUAAUACAUGCAAGUCGAGCGGCAGCACGGUCUUCGGACUGGUGGCGAGCGGCGGACGGCAGAGUAACGCGUAGGAACAUACCCCAAAGUGAGGGAUAACCGCCCGAAAGGGUGGCUAAUACCGCAUGUGAUCUUCGGAUUAAAGCUUUAUGCGCUUUGGGAAUGGCCUGCGUUCGAUUAGCUAGUUGGUGAGGUAAAAGCUUACCAAGGCUACGAUCGAUAACUGGUCUGAGAGGAUGAUCAGUCUGACUGGAACUGAGACACGGUCCAGACUCCUACGGGAGGCAGCAGUAGGGAAUUUUCCACAAUGGGCGAAAGCCUGAUGGAGCAACGCCGCGUGCAGGAUGAAGGCCUUCGGGUCGUAAACUGCUUUUAUGUGAGAAGAAUAUGACGGUAACACAUGAAUAAGGGUCGGCUAACUACGUGCCAGCAGCCGCGGUCAUACGUAGGACCCAAGCGUUAUCCGGAAUUACUGGGCGUAAAGAGUUGCGUAGGUGGAACUGUAAGUGGAGCGUGAAAGCGUGCGGCUCAACCGCAUUACUGCGUUCCAAACUGCAGAGCUUGAGUAUGAGAGAGGUAGAUGGAAUUCCCAGUGUAGGAGUGAAAUCCGUAGAUAUUGGGAGGAACACCGAUGGCGUAGGCAGUCUACUGGCUCAUUACUGACACUAAAGCACGAAAGCGUGGGGAGCAAACGGGAUUAGAUACCCCGGUAGUCCACGCCGUAAACUAUGGAUGCUAGCUGUGACACACAUCGACCUGUGUCGUAGCGAAGUUAACGCGUUAAGCAUCCCGCCUGGGGAGUACGGUCGCAAGAUUAAAACUCAAAGGAAUUGACGGGACCCGCACAAGCGGUGGAGCGUGUGUUUAAUUCGAUGGUAAGC